CCUACGGGGGGCAGCAGUGAGGAAUAUUGGUCAAUGGACGAGAGUCUGAACCAGCCAAGUAGCGUGAAGGAUGACUGCCCUAUGGGUUGUAAACUUCUUUUAUAUGGGAAUAAAAUGUUCCACGUGUGGGAUUUUGUAUGUACCAUAUGAAUAAGGAUCGGCUAACUCCGUGCCAGCAGCCGCGGUAAUACGGAGGAUCCGAGCGUUAUCCGGAUUUAUUGGGUUUAAAGGGAGCGUAGGUGGAUUGUUAAGUCAGUUGUGAAAGUUUGCGGCUCAACCGUAAAAUUGCAGUUGAGACUGGCAGUCUUGAGUACAGUAGAGGUGGGCGGAAUUCGUGGUGUAGCGGUGAAAUGCUUAGAUAUCACGAAGAACUCCGAUUGCGAAGGCAGUUCACUGGACUGCAACUGACACUGAGGCUCGAAAGUGUGGGUAUCAAACAGGAUUAGAUACCCGAGUAGUC
rnacentral:rRNA from 1 species